ensembl:lncRNA
CUUGGGUAUCCUCUGUUAGAAAAAAGAAGUGUCCAGUGCUGGGGACUGAACCAGUCUCAGUGAUGCUAAGCACCUGCCCUUCAAUGAGUAUGAGGCAGUGUGUCUUUUUCCAUUUGCUAUCUCAGGAAAGCAUAAUUAAAUGCAGCCUGAAAGGAUGCCAGUAAUUGAUUUGAGGCAUGGUUAGCUUGCUUCCUGAGGUAUUCCUUGUGAUAAGACUCUAGGAGAUGAGAAGUGGGCGCUGCCAUGUGGCAAUCAACAUCCCUGUCUGGAUAAUUUACAUUUGAAAGCAUUUCUUUGGAGCUGUUUGCUUUUGGAAGGGAGUGCCCAGGACUUUUUACUGGACUGUUUACUGGCGGAAGAUCUGUCCUGUGACCAAAUUACUCCUGUUUGCUAUGGGACAUUAGGGGAUACCAUGGUAGAAGCUGUCACUCCAAAAGGCUGACUCAACCACUUUGGACUUAUAAAUAAGUUUGUACUGCCAUCGCAAUCAUUGUCGUUGUUCUUGCCAUGGUCGCUGUCGUCACCAACGGAACAACACCCAAUGACCCACCUCUACUGAAGAUCGACAACUGAACCAUGAACCACGCUGGAUCCAUGGUGGUGACUAUCUCCCUCUUGCUUCCUAUAGAGACUCCUUGCUCCUAUUUCCUAUCUUUUCUACUGCCCUUCUUCUCUUCCCCAUCACCCUAAUUUGCACCUAUCAAGACUCCUUGCUUCUAUUUUCUAUCUUUUCUAUCAUUCCCCUUCCCUUCCGCAUUACCCCAAUCUGUAAUUGUGUCUGUCCUCCCCUUCUCCAUCUCCCU